rnacentral:rRNA from 1 species
GACGCGGACCCCGCACAAGCUGUUGGAUGAUGUAGUAUUAAUUCGAUGCAACGCGAAAAACCUUACCUACCCUUGACAUGUCUGGAAUGCCGAAGAGAUUUGGCAGUGCUCGCAAGAGAACCGGAACACAGGUGCUGCAUGGCUGUCGUCAGCUCGUGUCGUGAGAUGUUGGGUUAAGUCCCGCAACGAGCGCAACCCUUGUCAUUAGUUGCUACGCAAGAGCACUCUAAUGAGACUGCCGGUGACAAACCGGAGGAAGGUGGGGAUGACGUCAAGUCCUCAUGGCCCUUAUGGGUAGGGCUUCACACGUCAUACAAUGGUCGGGACAGAGGGUCGCCAACCCGCGAGGGGGAGCCAAUCUCAGAUAGCCGAUCGUAGUCCGGAUCGCAGUCUGCAACUCGACUGCGUGAA